rnacentral:rRNA from 1 species
GACGAACGCUGGCGGCGUGCCUAACACAUGCAAGUCGAACGGGACCAGAAGCUUCGGUUUUUGGUUUAGUGGCGAACGGGUGAGUAACGCGUGAGAAACCUGCCUCUCAGUGGGGGACAACAGUUGGAAACGACUGCUAAUACCGCAUAAUGCUAUUGACCGGCAUCGGUUGAUAGCCAAAGAUUUAUUGCUGAGAGAUGGCCUCGCGUCUGAUUAGCUAGUUGGUGGGGUAACGGCCCACCAAGGCGACGAUCAGUAGCCGGACUGAGAGGUUGAACGGCCACAUUGGGACUGAGACACGGCCCAGACUCCUACGGGAGGCAGCAGUGGGGAAUAUUGCACAAUGGGCGCAAGCCUGAUGCAGCAACGCCGCGUGAGGGAAGACGGUUUUCGGAUUGUAAACCUCUGUCUUUGGUGACGAAGAAGUGACGGUAGCCAAGGAGGAAGCCACGGCUAACUACGUG